GCGGCGUUACCUCAGCUGGAUAGAGGACCCGGCUACGAACCGGGGCGUCAGGGGUUCGAAUCCCUUACGCCGCACCA
rnacentral:tRNA from 1 species